CGAUGCUGAUGGACCUCUGUUUCUUGCAGGCGGCUCUCCUCAGGAAGCACUCGUUCUGGUACGUGUCUCCGUUGGACCCGCAGACGGGGACGUACUUCUUACUGCACUGAAACAGAAAGGUUUUCAGCCUCUGAGGAUUCAGGGAAACAGGAAGUGAUUUUUCAGCUCGGCUGACCUCAGGUCGUUCGGAACCAAACCAGGUCAGCCUGAAACUGAAGUGAGGCUCUGAGGUUCAGCCAAGCGUUGACUGAACAUCACUCCUCCUCUUCAUCACCAUCCUCCUCUUCAUCACUCCUCCUCCUCUUCAUCACCAUCCUCCUCUUCAUCACCAUCCUCCUCUUCAUCACCAUCCUCCUCUUCAUCACCAUCCUCCUUUCUUUCUUGCUGGACCUGUUUCAGCAGAACUUCAGUUUGGAUUCUUCACUCGGUCCGUUUCACAGAAUAAAUCUUUGCUGCUCUCAUUUCUCUCUGUCUGACUAAAAAAAAGGCAAACCCGUCCGACCACAGAGGAGAGAAACUGAAGCAGAGUGGAGCGUCUUCCCAGAGGAGAACAUCUGUGAUGGAGCCGAGGUGUAAAAAUAGAAAAUUAAAAACUUCUUCAGACCCUCAGAAAGCGACAGAGCUGGGUUAUUUCAGCUCCACAUUUAGAUCWGAGCCAUGAAGCUCGUCUGUAGUUACAGCUCACGGGCCGGCCCGACCCGACCAGAACCAGCUGUAAUAAAACUAAAAUAACUUCACAGAGUUCGGUUCUUUUUAAAGCAGCUUCUGCUCUGCAGCUGGGAGGAGACGACUUUUUAUUUUCAACAGCCGAUUGAACCAAAGGGAGCAGAACGGAGAGCAGAACCGGGUCAGACAGAACCAGAACUGAAGUCUGGUCCACAUCAGUCCAACCGACACACAAAGUCUUUGGACUGAACCGCUUUAYAACCUUUAAAUAAUACAAAGGUCACUGGUGUCCACCUCCAUCAGUCACAGUGUGAGGGGGCGGGGUCCCCCCUGGACAGGUCUCAGUCCAUCACAGGGACACACAACCGUUCAGUCUCACUCACACCUGAGACAUUUAAUCAGUUAAACUAACAGUCAUGUUUUUGGUCUGUGGGAGGAGGCUGGAGUACCCGGAGAAAACCCACACAUGCACGGAGAGAACAUGCAAACUCUACCCAGAAAGGUCCCCGGGCCGGGAUUUAAUCCGGCAACCUUCUCGCUGAGCAGCACCAGCUCUACCAACAGAGCCACUGUGUUUGAGUAAUCUCAGUAAAUAUCGGUUAUCAGAAUGAAAAUAUCAGAUAUCGGUGCGUCCCUAAAGUGCAGCGAGCUGUAGCACUUCCUGUUCAGCCUGGAUGCACUUCCUGUAGGAGUUUAUAUUUCUGACAGAAUAACUCUCGGUAUAAAAGCUUAUUAAAUGUUAUAAUAUUUAUAAAAUUAUUGACAAGAAAURAGUUUUUAAAGCCGUUAACGUGAAAAUACAGAUUAAAAUAACGAUUAAAAACAUUAGACAACAGAYAAGUCACAGUUUUUCUCUGGUUUCCAGUGAAACGUCUCUGAACAGAGCCGGGCUCGAUGCUUCAUGUUUCAACAAACCUGAGUUUAACUUCACCUGAUGAAAACUUUUACACAGAGGAAGGAGCAGCAACAAUCUGUGAGGCACAAACAACAACAACAACAACAACAACAACAACAACAACAACAACAGGGGGGUGUUGGGCUCACACAUUUGUUCUUGAACCUUGUGGGGACCUUCCAUUGACUUCCAUUCAUUUUUUUAUACUUUAUAUCCAAACCCUGACCAUUGAUCCUAAAACUAACCUUAAUCCACCUGUUAGCUGUGACCAGUUCCACCUGUUAGCUGUGACCAGUUCCACCUGUUAGCUGUGACCAGUUCCACCUGUUAGCUGUGACCAGUUCCACCUGU